UCCUUGGUGGCUCAGUAGGCUAAGGAUCAGCACUGCCACUGCUGUGGUUCAGGUUUGCUCCCUGGCCCAGGAA
rnacentral:tRNA from 1 species